UACGUAUGGUGCAAGCGUUAUCCGGAUUUACUGGGUGUAAAGGGAGCGUAGACGGCUGUGUAAGUCUGAAGUGAAAGCCCGGGGCUCAACCCCGGGACUGCUUUGGAAACUAUGCAGCUAGAGUGUCGGAGAGGUAAGCGGAAUUCCCAGUGUAGCGGUGAAAUGCGUAGAUAUUGGGAGGAACACCAGUGGCGAAGGCGGCUUACUGGACGAUGACUGACGUUGAGGCUCGAAAGCGUGGGGAGCAAACAGG
rnacentral:rRNA from 1 species